rnacentral:rRNA from 1 species
AUGCAAUACAGGAUGCACCCUUCCAUCAGCGUCUUCCCGAACCUCAGUUUCUACGACAGGCAGAUCUUGGACGGCCCCAACGUGACGCAGACGACGCACGAGCUUAGCUACCUUCCAGGCGCGAUGUUCGGGCCAUACUCGUUCAUCAACGUCGACGGCAGGGAAGAUCGCGGCCGCAGCAAGAGGAACAUGGCCGAGGUGGCCGCCAUCCUGGACAUAGUGCGCAGUCUCAAGCAAGGGCAGGGUAGGCGACGUGAAGGCGAUGCGGCCACUUGUUCUUCGCGUCAACUCCGUGGAUGGGUUCCAGGGCAGCGAGGAGGACGUCAUCAUCCUCUCCACCGUCAGGUCCAACGCCACGGGCUCCAUCGGAUUCCUCUCCAACCGGCGCCGCGCCAACGUCGCCCUGACGAGGGCAAGGCACUGCCUCUGGAUCCUGGGCAACGCGACGACGCUGAGCGGCUGCGGCUCCAUCUGGGGAGAGCUGGUGCAGGAUGCCGUGGAGCGUCGGUGCUUCUUCGACUGGGACGAUGGUGGCACGAGCACCUAUCCGGCCAUUUCUCACGGCGCUCGCCUGAUCGGGCCUGA